UACGUAGGGUGCAAGCGUUGUCCGGAAUUAUUGGGCGUAAAGAGCUCGUAGGCGGUCUGUCGCGUCGGCUGUGAAAACCCGGGGCUCAACCCCGGGCCUGCAGUCGAUACGGGCAGACUAGAGUGCGGUAGGGGAGACUGGAAUUCCUGGUGUAGCGGUGAAAUGCGCAGAUAUCAGGAGGAACACCGGUGGCGAAGGCGGGUCUCUGGGCCGUAACUGACACUGAGGCGCGACAGCGUGGGGAGCAAACAGG
rnacentral:rRNA from 1 species